rnacentral:rRNA from 1 species
GAUGAACGCUGGCGGCGUGCCUAAUACAUGCAAGUCGAGCGAACGGACGAGAAGCUUGCUUCUCUGAUGUUAGCGGCGGACGGGUGAGUAACACGUGGAUAACCUACCUAUAAGACUGGGAUAGCUUCGGGAAACCGGAGCUAAUACCGUAUAAUAUUUUGAACCGCAUGGUUCAAAAGUGAAAGACGGUCUUGCUGUCACUUAUAGAUGGAUCCGCGCUGCAUUAGCUAGUUGGUAAGGUAACGGCUUACCAAGGCAACGAUGCAUAGCCGACCUGAGAGGGUGAUCGGCCACACUGGAACUGAGACACGGUCCAGACUCCUACGGGAGGCAGCAGUAGGGAAUCUUCCGCAAUGGGCGAAAGCCUGACGGAGCAACGCCGCGUGAGUGAUGAAGGUCUUCGGAUCAUAAAACUCUGUUAUUAGGGAAGAACAUAUGUGUAAGUAACUGUGCACAUCUUGACGGUACCUAAUCAGAAAGCCACGGCUAACUACGUG